AAAGGCUGCGGUAUUUUGACCGUACAAAGGUAGCAUAAUCAUUAGUUUUUUAAUUGAAAGCUUGUAUGAAUGGUUUAAUGAGAUAUUUUCUGUUUCAUAAAAAUUUUUAUAGAAAUUAAUUUUUUAGUUAAAAAGCUAAAAUAUAUUUAAAAGACGAGAAGACCCUAUAGAGUUUUAUAUAAAUUUUUUUAUAGUUUAUUUAUAAUAAUUAAAAUUUUAUUUAAAUUUAUAUUUUGUUGGGGUGACAAUAAAAUUUUAUAAUCUUUUAUUAUUUUUUAAACAAUAAUUAUUGAAUGAUUGAUCCAUUUUUAGUGAUUAAAAGAUUAAAUUACCUUAGGGAUAACAGCG
rnacentral:rRNA from 1 species